rnacentral:rRNA from 1 species
AGUGAACGCUGGCGGUAGGCCUAACACAUGCAAGUCGAACGGCAGCACAGUAAGAGCUUGCUCUUACGGGUGGCGAGUGGCGGACGGGUGAGGUAUACAUCGGAAUCUACUUUUUCGUGUGGGUUAACGAAGGGAAACUUACGCUAAUACCGCAUACGACCUACGGGUGAAAGCAGGGGAUCUUCGGACCUUGCGCGAUUGAAUGAGCCGAUGUCGGAUUAGCUAGUUGGCGGGGUAAAGGCCCACCAAGGCGACGAUCCGUAGCUGGUCUGAGAGGAUGAUCAGCCACACUGGAACUGAGACACGGUCCAGACUCCUACGGGAGGCAGCAGUGGGGAAUAUUGGACAAUGGGCGCAAGCCUGAUCCAGCCAUACCGCGUGGGUGAAGAAGGCCUUCGGGUUGUAAAGCCCUUUUGUUGGGAAAGAAAAGCAGCAGGUUAAUACCCCGCUGUUCUGACGGUACCCAAAGAAUAAGCACCGGCUAACUUCGUG